GCUUGUCUCAAAGAUUAAGCCAUGCAUGUCUAAGUAUAAACAAAUUUAUAGUGAAACUGCGAAUGGCUCAUUAUAUCAGUUAUAGUUUAUUUGGCGAUAAAAACUACUUGGAUAACCGUAGUAAUUCUAGAGCUAAUACAUGCAUCAAACCUCGACUAUUUUGGAAGAGGUGUAUUUAUUAGAUGGAAACCAAUGCGGGGCAACCCGGAUUCAGGUGAUUCAUAAUAACUUUCGGAUCGAUCUUCGGAUCGAUGCAUCAUUCAAGUUUCUGCCCUAUCAGCUUUGGAUGGUAGGGUAUUGGCCUACCAUGGCUUUAACGGGUAACGGAGAAUUAGGGUUCGAUUCCGGAGAGGGAGCCUGAGAAACGGCUACCACAUCCAAGGAAGGCAGCAGG
rnacentral:rRNA from 1 species